rnacentral:rRNA from 1 species
AGUGAACGCUGGCGGUAGGCCUAACACAUGCAAGUCGAACGGCAGCACAGUAAGAGCUUGCUCUUACGGGUGGCGAGUGGCGGACGGGUGAGGAAUACAUCGGAAUCUACUUUUUCGUGGGGGUUAACGUAGGGAAACUUACGCUAAUACCGCAUACGACCUACGGUUGAAAGCAGGGGAUCUUCGGACCUUGCGCGAUUGAACGAGCCGCUGUCGGAUUAGCUAGUUGGCGGGGUAAAGGCCCACCAAGGCGGCGAUCCGUAGCUGGUCUGAGAGGAUGGUCAGCCACACUGGAACUGAGACACGGUCCAGACUCCUACGGGAGGCAGCAGUGGGGAAUAUUGGACAAUGGGCGCAAGCCUGAUCCAGCCAUACCGCGUGGGUGAAGAAGGCCUUCGGGUUGUAAAGCCCUUUUGUUGGGAAAGAAAAGCAGCAGGUUAAUACCCCGCUGUUCUGACGGUACCCAAAGAAUAAGCACCGGCUAACUUCGUG